UUAACUCAAUUUUGUAUGGAGUUGGAAUGUUUACUUACGUUUGCCGCUAGGGGCAGUGUUCCAACUGCAUACACAAAUUUGACUU
rnacentral:pre_miRNA from 1 species